rnacentral:rRNA from 1 species
GCGGACGGGUGAGUAACGCGUACGAAUCUACCUAAUAGUGGGGGAUAGCCAAGGGAAACUUUGGGUAAUACCGCAUACGAUCUACGGAUGAAAGGGGGCCUCUCUUUGAAGCUCUCGCUAUCAGAUGAGCCUGCGUAAGAUUACCUUGUUGGUGAGGUAAUGGCUCACCAAGGCUACGAUCUUUANCUGGUCUGAGAGGAUGAUCAGUCACACUGGAACUGAGACACGGUCCAGACUCCUACGGGAGGCAGCAGUCGGGAAUAUUGGACAAUGGGGGCAACCCUGAUCCAGCCAUGCCGCGUGUGUGAAGAAAGCCCUAGGGUUGUAAAGCACUUUUAGUAGUGAGGAAGGCUCGGUAGUUAAUACCUGCCGGGAUUGACGUUAGCUACAGAAAAAGCACCGGCUAAUUUCGUGCCAGCAGCCGCGGUAAUACGAAAGGUGCGAGCGUUAAUCGGAAUUACUGGGCGUAAAGCGCGCGUAGGCGGCUUGGUAAGUUGGGUGUGAAAGCCCCGGGCUCAAC